GACGAACGCUGGCGGCGUGCCUAAUACAUGCAAGUUGAACGCUAACGGAUUGUACUCGUACCAACUGGGGUAGCAACUAACGGGUGAGUAACGCGUGGGGAGUCUUCCUUUUAUCGGGGGACAACAUUGUGAAACGAAUUCUAAUACCGCAUAAAAACUUUAAACACAAGUUUUAAGUUUGAAACAUGCCAUGCCAUCACUCAUAGAUGAUCCCGCGGUUUAUUAGCUAGUUGGUCAGGUAAAGGCUCAACAAGGCGAUGAUACAUAGCCGACCUGAGAGGGUGAUCGGACAAAUUGGGAACUAGAAACGGCCCAAACCCCUAAGGGAGGCAGCAGUAGGGAAAUUUUGGCCAUGGAGGACAGUCUGACCGAGGACAGCCGCGUGAGUGAAGAAGGGUUUCGGAUCGUAAAACUCUGUUGGUAGAGAAGAAAGUUGGUGAGAGUGGAAAGCUGAUGAAGUGACGGUAACUAAACAGAAAGGGACGGCUAACUACGUG
rnacentral:rRNA from 1 species